UGAUACCUUACAAGGAUAUAGAUAGAGGCACAAAAGAAUAUUUAGACAUCUGUCUAGGAAGAUCUCUUCUUUGUGUCAUUUCUAUUCAUGACUCUGCAAAGACAGAAUAGAACUGAAGACUGUUCACAUUCCAUAGACUGUUCUGCUUUUGCUGAGAAACAAGGUAGGAGAGGUAAUAUCUUUUACUGGACCAACUUCUGUAUCGGGUUUUCUGAUUUCCCAUGUAUGGGCGCAUGUGACGAUUUCUAAUUCGAAGGGGUCCCUUCUGAAGUAUCUAAGGUGCAGGAGAUGGUUCCUCCGCUUUUCUGAAGUCCUCCUGCAGAGCUGUUCAGCAUAUUUGAAGUUGUAUCUAGUGGUCAGGGGGUUACAGAUGGUAAGUCCUCUGGGGAUGAUGUUUUGUUUCUUGCAUCAGGAAGUAGAUGUUUCUGUUUAGUCUGGCUUCUUUCUUCAUGCUGUGAAGUUUCCAUUUUAAACAGCAAAAUUCAAUAUCUUUCAUGUUGUUUGCAGUGUUGGUCCCAGGAUAUGACACACACAAGACAAGUGAGGUAAUAUAUCUUAUUACUACUACAAAGGCAGCCAUUGGGAGAGAUGGAAAUCAAUGAAAUUAAUAACGUGUAUGUAAACACAACGUCAGUAUUGCACCAAUAGAAGCUAGGACCUCACCCACCUAGUUUUUGACAACCUGGGAACAACAAGGCUACAACACUGCAAACUGCUUUCCAUUCAUGACUCAGCAAAGUGAUGCAAUUGGAAAGAAAUCUCUUUCCUCAUUCCUCCUUUGCCUAGGCAGGUUUUAUCUCUCUUUAGAGUGCUGGAUCAGAGAAGGGAGAGAUGGAGUAGGAAGACAGUGCUUCUGCAGGGAAAACAUCCUGAGUUUCAGAAAUGUUGCAUUAGUACAUGCAAAGUUAAAAGACUCCUAUAUUUAUAUUCACGUGGUCAUGUGAGCAAAUACAGAACGGUUAGAGUGAUAUGCUUCAGAAAGUUAGGCAGUCUUGAAGUUCUCUGCCUAUCUCCACAUUCCUACUCCAACAGUACAGCACUCUGAAAACUUGCAAAAGGGAACAAACUACAGGUCAUGAUCACCUGGUCACUGAAAAUUCCAUGCUGAAGAGGUGAUGCUACAGCAACAAGCAGCAGCAGGACAGACCUGUGGAGAGAACCGCAUUUCUGCACACUCCUGAAUGCAAAGAAAAUACUACGAAGGCAGCCGCUGGGAGAGAAGGCGAUCAAUGAAAUUAAGAUCUUGUACACAAAUACAACACAGGUGACAAAUUCUCUCAGAUUUCCACCACAACUUCAACUACCACCAUCCAUCCAUUAAACUCUCUCUAGAACACUCCCACACCAGCAUCAA